CGUGAGUGAAAUGACAGAAGGACAUAC
rnacentral:rRNA from 1 species